AGAGUUUGAUCAUGGCUCAGAAUCAACGCUGGCGGCGUGCCUCAGACAUGCAAGUCGAACGCGAAAGUUUCCUUCGGGGAGCGAGUAGAGUGGCGCACGGGUGAGUAACACGUAGGUAAUCUACCUUCGGAUGGGGAAUAACAACCGGAAACGGUUGCUAAUACCGCAUAAUGCAGCGGCACCUAAUGGUGACAGUUGUUAAAGCGGGGGAUCGCAAGACCUCGCGUCUGAAGAGGAGCCUGCGGCAGAUUAGCUAGUUGGUAAGGUAACGGCUUACCAAGGCUAUGAUCUGUAGCCGGCCUGAGAGGGCGGUCGGCCACACUGACACUGACAUACGGGUCAGACUCCUACGGGAGGCAGCAGUCGGGAAUUUUGGGCAAUGGGCGAAAGCCUGACCCAGCAACGCCGCGUGAAGGAUGAAGUUUUUCGGAAUGUAAACUUCGUAAGAAUAGGAAGAAUAAAUGACGGUACUAUUUGUAAGGUCCGGCUAACUACGUGCCAGCCGCCGCGGUAAUAC
rnacentral:rRNA from 1 species